UUGGUCAUCGCGCUUGGU
rnacentral:snRNA from 1 species